rnacentral:rRNA from 1 species
UACGUAGGGUGCGAGCGUUAAUCGGAAUUACUGGGCGUAAAGCGUGCGCAGGCGGUUACUUAAGUCAGGUGUGAAAUCCCUGGGCUUAACCUAGGAAUUGCGCUUGAGACUGGGUAGCUUGGAGUGCGGCAGAGGGAGGUGGAAUUCCACGUGUAGCAGUGAAAUGCGUAGAGAUGUGGAGGAACACCGAUGGCGAAGGCAGCCUCCUGGGCCAGCACUGACGCUCAUGCACGAAAGCGUGGGGA